ensembl:misc_RNA 7SK 7SK RNA
GGAUAUGAGGGCAACCUGGCUGUGAUAUCUGACACCAGAAUUGUUGACCUAGCUGGCUGGAUGAGAGUGUGCUUUCUCAUCACUCUGUGUCCCUCCAGAAACUGCACAACUUGGUUGAGAAGCACCUUCCCCAAAGAGGAAGACCAUUUUGUAAUCAAGGGCUUAUGAGUAGCCAUGCUCUUCUGAUAGAACCUCUAAACAAACUCUCAAGAUUCCCACUUCUAUCCGCUCCCCUAAGAGAAUUCCAUUCUUAGCUAAGCCUUUGAUCAGACAAAACCAAGUCUGCCACUGGCUUGACAU